rnacentral:lncRNA from 1 species
AGGCAGGCGAUGCGGCGUGGUGUGCGGUGGCCCUCCUGGCGGCGCUGCAGUUGAGUCCAAAUCCUUGUUAUUGGAACAGGAGGAGGUGAGCAGCUCAAUUCUAAAUUCCUAAUGAUUUCCGUUCUGAAAUUCAAAUCGACUUCUUGUUGCCUUUCGCUUCUUUGUGUUGUUCCCAAAUUGCUAAUUUGGGGUUCAAUUUCUAAUUUAGAUGUGGAAACCAUGUGGUGAGAUCAGACAUCCUCUGCCCCAAGAGGUAAUUUAUAUUUUACCAUUACUGUUGCUUGUGUUUGCAUUCGGUCAUGUAAACCUUAGAUGUUUGCACGCUGGUGGCCGUUGAUUCACAGCAGGUGGUGCAGGCGUGUAGCCUCGCAGGUGUUCCUCGGCAUCAGGUACAUUUGCCGUGGCAUGCUUGUUGAUGUGAUCUGCAUCUCCAUCUCGUCCUAACACAACAGUGGGCUGCCAGUUCUUCGCCGCCGAAUCUCUUCAAUUUUGCUUUCUCUCCGUCAAUUUACAUGAGUAUGUGUCAAUUUAAACUUAUUUGCAGGUGCGAUUAUGUGGACUCUUGAGUUUUGACCAGAUCUAAACUUAUUCCAGAUUUCGGACUAGUGAAGUUUUCCACCCUGCAACUGUGUAGAUAUGCUGGAAAAGCAAAGAAAAGGCACACCAAGUAAUUAAGGUGUAAUCCUUGUCAUUUUACUGGGCAGGUGCAAUCAUACUCUUUAAAAUGCCGACAUUGCGAGAGUAAAAUAAAGUAUGUUAGGAAUAUUGUUCUUGAAUUGAUUCAGUAAAAAAAUCCUAGUUUAACUCAUGCUUUUGUGUUAAACGACAUACACUCAUAUUAAGGAUUGACGUUCUCAUUUAUCGUAAUGUACAAAUGAUGAGUGUACAAUGGCUACUAAGGGUGUAUAGGUCUAAUUAACAGAUCACAGAAAGGAGAGGAGGAAGCUGAGCUCCGCUCUUUCUUCUGUCUAGGAGAAGUUUCUUUUUCCUUUUUAAAGACUGAACCUUAUAUUGGGUUUGUAGGGAAAAUUUCUCUGCCUCUAUUGAUCGUAUCCUAUUCAGUAGUAUACUACUAGUACCGUGGCAUACCAAUUAUUUGGACAGAUCAAAAGGCAAGUUAAAGAUCAGUUAGAUAAAUGCUACUGUCCUCACACAUCUCACAUCUCAUUUGGCUUCCUACAUACCUGAACACACAUUUAUGCAGUCACACAUCUCACCUUGAUUAGUUUGCAAAUUUUGCUUGGAUAGGUACUAUAUACAGUUGUCUUCUCUAACUUGUUAUACUCGUUCAUUGAAUUUACAGUGUUUGAAUCCUCCAGAGAAUAGAAAGAGGACAUUAGCUAGUGUGAAAAAUGACAACACAACUUGGACUUGCUUCUAUCAACUUGAAUGCCGAGAUCCAAUCAUCACAAGCAUCUUCAUCUGUAACAAACAUCAAUCCUGUGAGCGUUAGUUCAAGAGCCUGUAUUCUAUGGUGUAGUAAAAAGAUAUACGAGAAGUUGUUCCCACUGCUCCUACAAGAAGAUUAAGUUGAAGAAGAAAAUUUCUUGUUCUGGCUGAUGAUUAUUGCCAUUCAAUUUACCCGUAUUUUUUAUUCCAUAUAAUUGUUAUGGCUCUGGUGCUUAAUUUCCACUGGAUUUCUUGUUGUUUUUAAAAGAUAUAUGCUAUACAUGUCUCUUCCAGUGUCUUUUGUGGAUGCAUUUCUUAAAUGAACUAUUUUUGUUAUGAUGGCAUCUCUUAG